rnacentral:rRNA from 1 species
CGCUAGCUACAGGCUUAACACAUGCAAGUCGAGGGGCAGCACAGUGUAGCAAUACACGGGUGGCGACCGGCGCACGGGUGCGUAACGCGUAUCCAACCUUCCCGAUACUCUUGGAUAGCCUUCCGAAAGGGAGAUUAAUACAAGAUGGUGUUUCAAUUCCGCAUGUUAUUGAAACUAAAGAUUUAUCGGUAUCGGAUGGGGAUGCGUGACAUUAGAUAGUAGGCGGGGUAACGGCCCACCUAGUCUACGAUGUCUAGGGGUUCUGAGAGGAAGGUCCCCCACACUGGAACUGAGACACGGUCCAGACUCCUACGGGAGGCAGCAGUGAGGAAUAUUGGUCAAUGGUCGGAAGGCUGAACCAGCCAAGUAGCGUGAAGGAUGAAGGUUCUAUGGAUUGUAAACUUCUUUUAUACGGGAAUAAAACCUCCCACGUGUGGGAGCUUGUAUGUACCGUAUGAAUAAGCAUCGGCUAACUCCGUGCCAGCAGCCGCGGUAAUACGGAGGAUGCGAGCGUUAUCCGGAUUUAUUGGGUUUAAAGGGAGCGUAGACGGGAUGUUAAGUCAGUUGUGAAAGGCUGCGGCUCAACCGCAGCACUGCAGUUGAUACUGGCGUCCUUGAGUGCGGUUGAGGUAUGAGGAAUUCGUGGUGUAGCGGUGAAAUGCUUAGAUAUCACGAAGGACUCCGAUUG